GCCUCGGGGUGUCAUCACGCAGGACUGCAAAUCCCGAGAAGCAGGCUAAUCCCUGCCGAGGCU
rnacentral:tRNA from 1 species